GGGCUUGAUGCCUAGCGGCUUCCUUUUACGGGGUGUCUACCGAUCUCAGAGGUUCACUCCCUUGAGGAAUGUUCCUCGAGUCGUGAUGCUGUGAUUGUCGUCUUUCGAAUUAAGGAUUUGUCUGGCUGGUGUUCAGCCAAUGGCUUUUGUCUUCGGGUGCCUCGCCUUUAAGGCUUCGUUCAAGUCCUCCUAUGUCAAUCUCAUUUCUGCCUUUCAUCCACAUCGCGAUCUCUUUUCCCACUCGUUAGGGCCAGGGGUUGUAUAGGUAAAAAAAAAAGCUCAAUUGGAGGCUUUUUUUCGAAUCGUGUGCCGAAGCAAGGUAGUUCAUUUUUUCAGGGGAGCUAGGCAGGGAAGAGCCUUGAAGGCUGAAGAAUAAUAAAAUAAGUAAGGAUGCCCAUUUCUAUUUAAGUUAAUAAAGGGUAACAACAAAAGCUUUUCAGGCGGAAAAAAGAAGCCUACUUGAAUUGAAUUCAAUAAAGAAGGAAAAGGUGAAUACAGGGUUUGGCUCUAAUCUACUUAGGUAGAGACAGAAGAUGAAAAUAAAUGCCAUUCCAAAGACAAAGAAGCAGUUGAUUUAGAUUGAAACUAGUCGCCAGGCUGGCUGAUAAAUAAGAGGGCGACGGCUAAGGUAGAAAUGGCUAGCUUAAGCAAGGACAGCAUGGAAGCAGGUUUCUGUUGCCUUUGUUUGUCACGAAGUUUUCAGUUAUAUCCUAGUAUAAUAAAGAGCUGAUCUUUCCCGAAGGCUUCGCUCCUCGCUCAUCUUUUGCUUUUGCUGCUUGUGAGAAUGCUUCUGUUGGACCUAUUUGACCACGCCCGUUCCAUUGCUUUUCCUGUCUAGAAUCACUCUAUCGUAAUUGAACCGGGAAAUCUUCCUCUUACAAAGAAAACUCAAAAUCAUCUAAAUAGUUAGAUAGAGGCUUUCUCACCACCGACAUGGGGGUGGGAGAAGGCAGUUCACUAGCAACCCUCUUGCCUUUUGCGGCCGGGGGUGGAUUGACAGCUUAAUUAAAGAGUAGUUUUAAAUAGCGAUUGCUUCAUUACCGAUGUGCUCACGAAUUGGAUUUGAACCAAUAUCCCCCCUAUCUGGAGCGACUUUCCUUUUAGUCGAUCGUGAUGGGUCUGUCGUCCUCCUCAUUAUAGUCCUCCUAAAAUCAAUAGCAUUUCGUCGGAAUACAUCCUGUCUUUUCACCUUAGUAGUCCUAUGCAUAGUCAGUACUAUAGCCCCAAUCAUGGCUACUAAUAAAAUAGGACUAGGAACCAAAAACCAGACGGAAUAGUAGGUAUAAAGUAAAUUGCCCAAUGUUUCCAAAUUAGUCCAACUUCGUACCUUUCCGGCAUAAACCGUAUAUCUCAGAGAGGUCGUCUUUCUUCGUUUGAUGCCUACACCUCUUUCCUGAGUUCUAGCCAGGUCCUCGCAGCACACUUCCCUAGAAUCCCUAAGAUUGUUCCUCCUUCACCCUAUCAGGAAUAUAAGGGCAAAAAUUCAUUGAACUAGUUCAAUUCAUUAACAAAAAUUAUUGGUCGGCGUUGUCAUUAAAUUCAUAGUGGUCAAGGUCUUGGUCUUUCACCCGCCUCUGGAAAAGAUCAUUCAUGAUUUAGCGUGCCCGUUCUCUUGUAGGAUUAUCUACGGGGUUGUUGGCUAUAUCCCCCAAGAGUUCAACGAGGCGAGCCUUACUUGUAUAAUGCUGUCCCGCUAACUGCUCGAGCACCCGUCGAUACUUCCUGUAUGACGGUGUUCUUUCGAAGGAAGUAUCCAUGUCUGCCUUGAGGUAGUCGAUUAGGAUCCGAUGAACGCACCAAUACCCUUACUCCAUAGGGCAGAUUGUGAGGCUCAUUGGUGUCACCGGGUAAAGCGGGGGGUUGUGGUGGGGCCGACUGCUCCCUCCCAAAAAGGUUAUUUUCCUCUAAGGAGGGGAGCGAGGGUACAGAGGGGACGGAAGGGUCAAAGGGUAUCGGUGUUAAGGAAGAGGGCACCGAGGGAAAAGAUCUCAGAGGAGAGUCAGCGGGGACCACAUUAUAAGGACCUGCAUUUGAAGGCCCCGCGUCAUUCCUACCCGGCGCUUGGUUUACGCUCGCUUCCGCCCCAGCGGGUAACACCAUAUUCGCAAGAUAGGGCGCGGCCUCGGUAGCGAGGAGGGCCUUCACAGCAAAUCCAAUGGCCAAGGCCAGAGCCCCGGAGCAUCCAAUCUUAAAGACAAAAGAACAUAGGGCUCGACACCCCAUAGAUACCCCAGCCUUUGAGAGCAAGGCCCAAAAAAUGUCAAUGGAACCGAGUAUGAGACAAAGCAAAUAGAAGACACAGAAUAGAAAGAACAAGAUCGAAAGUUUGAUCAUCAAUCUCUUUAUGACACAUCGCGGUGCAAUAGUUGAACUAUUGGAAGCAAAUGGAAAAAGGAACACCGAGC
rnacentral:lncRNA from 1 species